GUAGGUGGCAAGCGUUGUCCGGAAUUAUUGGGCGUAAAGCGCGCGCAGGCGGGUUCUUUAAGUCUGAUGUGAAAGCCCACGGGCUCAACCGUGGAGGGUCAUUGGAAACUGGAGAACUUGAGUACAGAAGAGGAAAGCGGAAUUCCACGUGUAGCGGUGAAAUGCGUAGAGAUGUGGAGGAACACCAGUGGCGAAGGCGGCUUUCUGGUCUGUAACUGACGCUGAGGCGCGAAAGCGUGGGGAGCAAACAGGAUUAGAUACCCUGGUAGUCCACGCCGUAAACGAUGAGUGCUAAGUGUUAGGGGGUUUCCGCCCCUUAGUGCUGUAGCUAACGCAUUAAGCACUCCGCCUGGGGAGUACGGCCGCAAAGGCUG
rnacentral:rRNA from 1 species